GACGAACGCUGGCGGCGUGCUUAACACAUGCAAGUCGAACGGAAAGGCCCUGCUUUUGUGGGGUGCUCGAGUGGCGAACGGGUGAGUAACACGUGAGUAACCUGCCCUUGACUUUGGGAUAACUUCAGGAAACUGGGGCUAAUACCGGAUAGGAGCUCCUGCUGCAUGGUGGGGGUUGGAAAGUUUCGGCGGUUGGGGAUGGACUCGCGGCUUAUCAGCUUGUUGGUGGGGUAGUGGCUUACCAAGGCUUUGACGGGUAGCCGGCCUGAGGGGGUGACCGGCAAGAGGGGGAAUGAUAGAGGCCCGGACACCCUGCGGGGGGCAGAGGGGGGGAUUUGGGCACAGGGGGGGGAGGCCGAAUCAAGCAACCCCGCGUGGGGGAUGACGGCGUUGGGUUUGAAAACCGCUUCCGCCUGUGACGAAGCGUGGGGGAGGGUAAGGGAUAAAAAAGCCCCGGCAAACUAGGUC
rnacentral:rRNA from 1 species